AGUCCUGCCCGGAUGGGGCUCGCCGGAUCGGUUUCGGUUUUCACGCACUCCCAUUUCUGUGGCCGCUGUGCAUUCGCGGAGUGUUCUCUGCUGCUUCUGGGUCCUGACAGUCUUGAAAAGAUCCAGCUGCUGAACUGGUAAGAGGUGGACUGCUGCCUCUGCAUGUGUAGAGCACAGGAACUGACAUGGCUGCUAGGGAUCUGACUCUAGCUCUACCUCAGACUUGCUGGACACCUUGGCCAAUUCAUUUUUUUCUCUGGGCCAGGGCAUCACCCCACCUCCACAAGGAGAGGGUAAGCAUCAUCAGGCUCCCUUGAUAUCUUUGAGAUCUGACAGUUCAACUCAUUUUUUUCUAUAAUAUUCCAUGAUCUUCCACGGAAUAUUAUAGAAAAUAUAGAUGUUCCAUGACCUUCCAUGGCAUUCUAUACAUUGCCAACAAAAAUCAAUAUUGAACAUCAGACUCCCAUCCUAGUACUGAGUCUAAAUAAACGAUGAGGAGUAGGGAGCUGCUGCUGGCUCAUUAUGCAACUUUUUUCCCAUCUGGAUGGCUGGACUAUAAAAGUUUCCCUGGGGCUAUGCUUUCCUGCUUUGCAAAGUCCUGAUUCUCAUUUGUGGGCCUGAUUUGGAAGUUUAUUUUCUUUUCCAGAAUCUCCAUUAUAGACUUCCUCCCUACCUCGUGCCUCUGGUCACUGCCACUUGCUCACAUUUCACUCAGAACCUUGAUUCUUUGAAUUAGACUAAGAUUAUGAGAAGGCAGUUUGCAAACCUGGGGUCCAGGGAAACAAAGGGCCAGAGCAGUCUCAGUUGUGGAAGCAGGGAGAGAGGAGGUGUGCAAAGUAGUCAGGUGGCAGGCUUGAAAUAGUCCCAGGCACUAUUGUGCUGCUCCUGUCACAGGGGCUAGUCUUCUAUGCCUUCUGCCCAGCCACCAAACAUUCUGUCACACCAGUCAGUUUUUGGAGUGACUAGUGUGGGAGGAACAAUUCGUGAGAAAUUGAGCUAAACCCAAAAGAAAUGGGGCUUCAGGAAAAAAAAUAUUCUUUGUGAUCCUAGAGAACUCCCAGCUGAGCACCCUUCUUUAUGGUCCAGAUAUUACUGAGUCUUGGGAGGAUACUGUAUGUGUGUAUUAAAGGGGAAAAGAUGUGGGAGGGGACAACACAGCUUCUUGUUUGCAUAGCUCACUUCUCUCCAGGGACGAUGUAUGGAAAGACCAAGUGUGUGCAUAAACUUGCACCUCAAAAUGCCUCCUCAUAGAGAGAGUACUGUAAGACCCCAUUCCACAUGCUGACUGACACGUGGUCAACUUGCUUAGUCAAGACAGGCACUGGUUGUGAGGAGCUGGAAAUCUUUCUUAAGUUUGUUUACCUGCAAAAUGGAGAUAAUCCUCGUGCUGCCUAGUGUCUUGUGGCUGCGGUGAAAAGCCCAUAAGAACAGAUGUGUGGGCUGUGUGGAGGCAACUUCAUAAACUCAAGUAGACACAUCAUUACAGGGCACAUCAUUACAAUGCUCAUUUCUUUCUUCACCAAGUAUUCCAUAGUCAUUUCCUCUAUGCCAGGCCUGUUGAUAGUUAUUGGGAGAAGCAGUACAGUGUUAACCUUUUUGAGGCACCUGGGUAUGGAGUUCUGAGAGGAACUGAAAUCUACACUAGAGGUCUGGCAAAGGUGUUCUGGAGCAUUGCAGAUGAAGAGACUCCUUCUCCCCAGGGUGGCAAGGGGUAUCAGAGAAAAGUUCUAUGGAGGAUAGCUUUGACGGUUGGGUCAAGUCAGAAAAGUAGGGGAAGGAUUCCUGCCCAAGCCAAAGCCCAUCAGUGAGAGGGUAUGGUGGGUUGGGCAAGAGCUACAAUUCUGGAUGGCUGUGGCUAAGUAUUUGUGUGGUGGGGAGAGGAAGAGCUGGACAUUAGACUAGAAAGAAAGGCCUGGGGCCAAAGUGUAAAAGACCAUGACUGCCUGGGUAAAUUGAGGCUCAACUAGCUAAGUUCAUCUUUUCCAGGAAAGUGGUAUGUUGUAGUGGCUCUGCCACCAGACUGCCUGGGCUGGGAUGUGAAGCUUGCCACUUAGGAGCAGUAUGAUCUGGGCAGGUCAAUUUACCUCUCUGAGUCUCAACAUUUUUUUCUGCAAAAUGAAAAUAAUAGCACCCAUGUCAGAGAAUUGUGGUAAGAAUUGAGUAGUCCAUAUGAAGUGGCACAGAGGCUAGUACAUAAGAUGGUAUCAAUAAAUGUUAGUUACUGAUGCUGUUAUUAUUAUUGCUAUCCUUCUGAUCCAAUGUACAGAUCUUCAAAGUUAUGGAACUGCUAAUAUGACUUUGAAACCAGUUUUUGUUUUGUUUUUGGUUUUUUUUUUGAGACGGAGUCACGCUCUGUCGCCCGGACUGGAGUGCAGUGGAGCGAUCUCGGCUCACUGCAAGCUCCGCCUCCCGGGUUCACGCCAUUCUCCUGCCUCAGCCUCCCGAGUAGCUAGGACUACAGGUACCUGCCACCACACCCAGCUAAUUUUUCGUAUUAUUAGUAGAGGCGGGGUUUCACUGUGUUAGCCAGGUUGGUCUAGAUCUCCUGACCUCAUGAUCCAUCUGCCUUGGCCUCCCAAAGUGUUGGGAUUACAGGCGUGAGCCACCACACCUGGCCGAAACCAGUUUUUAAUAUAAACACACAUGAGCCUAUGAUUCCUUAUGAACAGACUCACUUUAUUGUGCAGACCCAGACUCAGUUUCCCAGGGCAGAAUAUUUUGUUCAUCUUCAUAUCCUCAGCACUCAACAGAGAGUUUGGCAGAAACUUGUUGAUGAGUAUGUAUUUACUGAACAUGAAAUGAGGCAUUUUCAGGCCUAAUAUCAAGCUUAAGUGCCAGCAUCCACCAAUGAAGUGUGAUGUUACCACUCAUUGGGCAUCUCCUUUGUGCCAGGCCCUGUGUUAAGUGACACACUCAUUACCCAGAAUGAUGGACUACACACAGCUUCUGGUCUCAAGGGCAACCAGUCUAGUGGAAGAGGAAGAAAACUCCUGAGUUUCUUACUUGGACAAGGGACUGCUGGAUGGUGUUGUCAUCCACUGAACUGAGUAAUAUAGGAACAGAAUUAGGAAAAUGUGGCCAGGUGCGGUGGCUCACGCCUGUAAUCCCAGCACUUUGGGAGGCCGAGGUGGGCGGAUCACAAGGUCAGGAGAUCAAGACCAUUCUGGCUAACACGGUGAAACCCCGUGUCUACUAAAAAUACAAAAAAUUAGCCGGGCGUGAUGGCGGGCGCCUGUAGUCCCAGCUACUUGGGAGGCUGAGGCGGGAGAAUGGCAUGAACCUGGGAGGCAGAACUUGGAGUGAUCCUUGAUCGCUCCACUGCACUCCAGCCUGGGCGACAGAGCGAGACUCCGUCUCCAAAAAAAAAAUGAUUUUGUUUAGGACAUACUGAAUUUGACUUGUCAGAAAUCCCACCUCAGGGCCUUUGCACUGGCUGCUCCCUCUGCCUACAGUGUUUGUCCUCUGAAUAUUGGCAUAGUUUGCACCUCAUUUCCUUCAGGUGGCUGCUCAAAUGUCAUUAAUAGUGACACCUUCACUGAACAGUUGAUAUAUAAAAUAGCAAUCCCCAUUUCCACCCCCUUCACUCUCCAAUUCUUUAAUAGGCCUUUUUUUCUUAUCCACAGCAUUUACCACCUCUUGGUAUAUUUUUUAUUGUUAUUUAUUUUAGAGUCAUUUUUAAAUUUUCUCUUUCUUAUCAUGAAAAUGGAAGCUCCGU
rnacentral:lncRNA from 1 species